AUGUACUGCUGUAAAUCAAGACUACCAGUUUGUGAGCUGAUAUGCAGUGGAAAUUGACAUCCAGAAGGAAGUCAUAGAGGAAACACCAGCUGAUGCAAGUGCUGCAGAAGAAUUCAAUCGAAUAUCAGGAAGAAAUGUGAGAUCCAAGUUCUACGCUGCAUUGGACACACACUGCUCGUUUGAUUGAAAUAAAAAAAAAAAAAAACAGGAGAAAAUUGCAGAAGAAAACUAGAAGAAAUUUUCAACAUGUUAAUUCAAAGGUCAUCUGGCAGCAGUUUUCCGGGGUCUUUCAGUCCUUUAGAGGGAUGAGUCUAAAGAAAUUUUCAGGAUGUGUUUUGAUGUAAUUGUAGAGUCGGACUUCAGUGCAGAAGAUGUUGGCCUGCUGACUGUCGUGUGUGAAGAUGUCUAAAGAACCUCAUUAUGGAUGCAAUGUGGGCCUUUAUACUGGAAGGAAAAGUGGUUAUGGACUUUGCCACAUGCAGUAUGUCUCUUUUUUUG
rnacentral:lncRNA from 1 species